UCAAUAAACCUGUUUUCAUGUUCAUUUUCCUUUUAGACACUAACGGGAAUACAGUUGGCGACAGAUUACAUGCAGAUUUUCCUGACAGACAGAGACGAUCCCUCAAGCACAAAGUCUUAGCCAGGGAUAAAAGAGGUGACACAAUACCGAAUCCUUUUGGUAAUCCAAGCAUCGGAAAAGGCAGUUAAGAAGAUAAGAG